CUCUCUCUUUCCUCCACUUUCUUCCUCUAGUUUUUUCUCCACUUUCUAUCUCUAAUUUCUCUCUCUAUAAUUUUUUUCUUUCUAGAUUAUUUCUCUCUUCUAAGAUUUUUUAGAUUUUUGAAAAGAUUGAUGAUGAAUUUGAACGAUCCUAGUGAAAGGGUUCUGAUCCGUAAUCACUGGACAGCGUACUGACACCCAUCUUGAUUAGAUUGGAUAC
rnacentral:lncRNA from 1 species